rnacentral:lncRNA from 1 species
CUUUACAUAUCAAAGCGCUACAUUCAUUUCAAGUAUUCACCUGACCUGAAGAGCAUGAAUUGGCCCAUUUAUUUCUCUCCUAAGCAACACAUGUUGCAGAUGAGUGUUUGUGUUGUGUGCAGAUGCUGUGGCGUCUCUCACAGGGUAGUGUUAUAUCUCAGAGAUGUGGAUAGUUGUUAUCUUCUGUCUGUGGAGGAUUAUCUGAAAAAUGGUGUGUUUCGCAGUAUAGCCAGUGUAAGGUCCGGCAGCCGCUACUAUGGCAAGCGCAGAUGCGGGAAGACAGCGGCCUCGUUGGAGAAAGGGCACCCAGAGUCUUUCACGGGGGCUGUUCUGCUGCUCAUGUUUGCGAGGGGAGGAGAAGGAUUCUCUGCAGGGACAGGAAAGGAAGAUUAAUAGUGGCCCUCAGGAUCCACACUUGGAUCAGCGGGGAUCAGGUGAGAUGCAGGCUAUCCAGAUUACAGUGGAGGAUCUGGGCAUAGUUAACAGCAGCUUCAGCCUGUUCGAGGAGGACCUCCUGACCCCGGGGACCAGCAUGGCCUGCUCAGCCAGCUCCGUGUGUGCCUGCACCAGGGCCCUGAAGAAGAAACGACUGAAGCCCCUGUCUUCCCUCCCUAUCCAGGCCAAAAUGGCUGCCACUUGUACCAGUGUCGAAGAUGACGAAGAAGAGGAGGAAGACACGUUACUGUUUGGGAGUGGCACCAAUAGCACGGCAGCUUCGGGAAGCCUCCUGACACAACCUGUCAUUAAUCUGAUACCACCCACUCCCUCUGACGUGGCCGACGACGAUCAGUUCUUUGACAUUAAUUCAGAGGAGAGCGUGGCGCACACAUCUGGAAGUGACGGAAGCUUUGCUGCUGGCGACGAGGAUAGUUACAAAGAGAAGACAGAGAGGGUGGAGACCGAGGAGUCAUCAGAGGAAUUCACAGUGGCUGAGAGUAAGGUCAGUGCUGAUGGUGCAGCAACUGAGGAGGGCCAAAGUGAUCAGUUGGGAGAAGAUAAAGAGCCCAUGCCAACCGAAGUGGGGGAUAAAGAGAAAACAAAACCCAGGUUCUUACGUAGCAUCUACCAGGUGGCUCCUCUUCCUGAGUGCUCUCAGAAAAAUGACCUGGGCAAAAGAGAUGUGAGCUGCUCUGACACGCUGACAGCUGAUCUGCCUCCUCACGCCACCGACAUGGACACAUUCACUCACCAGCGGAGGCCGAUAACUCGCUCCUGCAGUGUUGGGGACACACUGAACAGGAGCGCCACUUUCCACGCUUUAACUCAACCCUCACACCACCAGGAUGAGGAGGGCUCGCCACGACGACGCAUAACCGUUGGUGAGUCUAGUAUCACAACAUCGUGGAGGUUUUUUGUAGUUGAUACUAUUGUUACGGCUCAUUUAUAA